rnacentral:lncRNA from 1 species
AUGGUAUUGAAUUAUUAUUGUUAUUAUUAUUUUUAUGGUUAUGAUUUGAUUUUCUUUUUCCAUUGAUGAAGAUCCUAUCUGCUCUGGAGACAGAGAUCUUUUGGAGAUUAAUGAUCGGAUCAACAAAAAAGAAUCGAUAGAGACCCAAUAUUUACAGGCCAAAACAAGACUAAUGUUUUUGGGUCAAAAAGAAUAAUUCAAAAAACACAGGCCGAAACUCUAACGUCAUAUCCGAUAAAAUGUUUCAAUAUUUUAGGCAAAAUAUACUAUAUGGAACCAACAAUGUAAAGCUGUGAAGACUCUAAAGUCUGAAUUUUUGGCUAUAAAUUAAAGUUUAGACAUAAAAUUGUGCAAAGUUUGACUUGUUUACUAUUUGAUUGUAUUGUAUAGUACAAAUUUGUUAAAAUGGGUCCUGGCUUUUAUUAGGCCACUGCCUUGCGUUGGCCCCCCUGACCAUGCUUGUGCAACUCACAUGUCUGCAUGUGGGUCUCCCAAAUGCUCAUAUUCUCAAUAUCACAUGAUGAUGAUGAAUGCAAAAUAUUAAGUAGCAGAAACUUUGGUAAGCACAAAGGACUUCUAGAGCCUCAAAUUAAAAAAGUGUUAAUUCAAAAGGUGCGUUGUAUUGUAUUUACAUUCAAAACAUACCAUGUGACUUGAUUUUGACCCAUCUAGAAGUAAUGUUUGACCAAUCAGAUCUUGUGGUUUCAUUGAUUAAUUGAUUGGUGCUUAAUUCGUGAUCACAAUAUAUGUUGAAAUGGCAGUCUUAUUUCUUCUAAGUUCUAACAGGAGAAACCCAUUUGGGUUUUAGCCAUCUUCAUUCACAUCUCUUUUUUUUUUUUUUGGGUAAUCACCUCUUAUUAUUUAGGAGAGAAACUUGUGUAAGCUAAUUCUAUCACCUUAGCCACCAAAUCUAAUUAUAGAAUAUAUUA